rnacentral:rRNA from 1 species
UACAGAGGUCUCAAGCGUUAAUCGGAAUCACUGGGCUUAAAGGGUGCGUAGGCGGACUCGCAAGUGCCUUGUGAAAUCCCACGGCUCAACCGUGGAAUUGCUCGGUAGACUGCGGGUCUUGAGGCCGGUAGGGGCUGCCGGAACAGUAGGUGGAGCGGUGAAAUGCGUAGAUAUCUACUGGAACGCCCAAGGCGAAGGCGGGCAGCUGGGCCGAUUCUGACGCUGAGGCACGAAAGCGUGGGGAGCAAACGGG